rnacentral:rRNA from 1 species
CGUACACUCCUACGGGAGGCAGCAGUGGGGAAUUUUGGACAAUGGGCGAAAGCCUGAUCCAGCCAUGCCGCGUGCAGGAUGAAGGCCUUCGGGUUGUAAACUGCUUUUGUACGGAACGAAACGGCCUUUUCUAAUAAAGAGGGCUAAUGACGGUACCGUAAGAAUAAGCACCGGCUAACUACGUGCCAGCAGCCGCGGUAAUACGUAGGGUGCAAGCGUUAAUCGGAAUUACUGGGCGUAAAGCGUGCGCAGGCGGUUAUGUAAGACAGUUGUGAAAUCCCCGGGCUCAACCUGGGAACUGCAUCUGUGACUGCAUAGCUAGAGUACGGUAGAGGGGGAUGGAAUUCCGCGUGUAGCAGUGAAAUGCGUAGAUAUGCGGAGGAACACCGAUGGCGAAGGCAAUCCCCUGGACCUGUACUGACGCUCAUGCACGAAAGCGUGGGGAGCAAACAGGAUUAGAAACCCCGGUAGUCCC